rnacentral:rRNA from 1 species
UAAGUUAUUAAGGGCGCACGGUGGAUGCCUUGGCACUAGAAGCCGAUGAAGGACGUUACUAACGACGAUAUGCUUUGGGGAGCUGUAAGUAAGCUUUGAUCCAGAGAUUUCCGAAUGGGGAAACCCAGCAUGAGUUAUGUCAUGUUAUCGAUAUGUGAAUACAUAGCAUAUCAGAAGGCACACCCGGAGAACUGAAACAUCUUAGUACCCGGAGGAAGAGAAAGAAAAUUCGAUUCCCUUAGUAGCGGCGAGCGAAACGGGAAGAGCCCAAACCAACAAGCUUGCUUGUUGGGGUUGUAGGACACUCUAUACGGAGUUACAAAGGACGACAUUAGACGAAUCAUCUGGAAAGAUGAAUCAAAGAAGGUAAUAAUCCUGUAGUCGAAAAUGUUGUCUCUCUUGAGUGGAUCCUGAGUACGACGGAGCACGUGAAAUUCCGUCGGAAUCUGGGAGGACCAUCUCCUAAGGCUAAAUACUCUCUAGUGACCGAUAGUGAACCAGUACCGUGAGGGAAAGGUGAAAAGCACCCCGGAAGGGGAGUGAAAUAGAACCUGAAACCGUGUGCUUACAAGUAGUCAGAGCCCGUUAAUGGGUGAUGGCGUGCCUUUUGUAGGAUGAACCGGCGAGUUACGAUUUGAUGCAAGGUUAAGCAGUAAAUGUGGAGCCGUAGCGAAAGCGAGUCUGAAUAGGGGCUUUUAGUAUUUGGUCGUAGACCCGAAACCAGGUGAUCUACCCUUGGUCAGGUUGAAGUUCAGGUAACACUGAAUGGAGGACCGAACCGACUUACGUUGAAAAGUGAGCGGAUGAACUGAGGGUAGCGGAGAAAUUCCAAUCGAACCUGGAGAUAGCUGGUUCUCUCCGAAUAGCUUUAGGGCUAGCCUCAAGUGAUGAUUAUUGGAGGUAGAGCACUGUUUGGACGAGGGGCCCCUCUCGGGUUACCGAAUUCAGACAAACUCCGAAUGCCAAUUAAUUUAACUUGGGAGUCAGAACAUGGGUGAUAAGGUCCGUGUUCGAAAGGGAAACAGCCCAGACCACCAGCUAAGGUCCCAAAAUAUAUGUUAAGUGGAAAAGGAUGUGGCGUUGCCCAGACAACUAGGAUGUUGGCUUAGAAGCAGCCAUCAUUUAAAGAGUGCGUAAUAGCUCACUAGUCGAGUGACACUGCGCCGAAAAUGUACCGGGGCUAAACAUAUUACCGAAGCUGUGGAUUGUCCUUUGGACAAUGGUAGGAGAGCGUUCUAAGGGCGUUGAAGCAUGAUCGUAAGGACAUGUGGAGCGCUUAGAAGUGAGAAUGCCGGUGUGAGUAGCGAAAGACGGGUGAGAAUCCCGUCCACCGAUUGACUAAGGUUUCCAGAGGAAGGCUCGUCCGCUCUGGGUUAGUCGGGUCCUAAGCUGAGGCCGACAGGCGUAGGCGAUGGAUAACAGGUUGAUAUUCCUGUACCACCUAUAAUCGUUUUAAUCGAUGGGGGGACGCAGUAGGAUAGGCGAAGCGUGCGAUUGGAUUGCACGUCUAAGCAGUAAGGCUGAGUAUUAGGCAAAUCCGGUACUCAUUAAGGCUGAGCUGUGAUGGGGAGAAGACAUUGUGUCUUCGAGUCGUUGAUUUCACACUGCCGAGAAAAGCCUCUAGAUAGAAAAUAGGUGCCCGUACCGCAAACCGACACAGGUAGUCAAGAUGAGAAUUCUAAGGUGAGCGAGCGAACUCUCGUUAAGGAACUCGGCAAAAUGACCCCGUAACUUCGGGAGAAGGGGUGCUCUUUAGGGUUAACGCCCAGAAGAGCCGCAGUGAAUAGGCCCAAGCGACUGUUUAUCAAAAACACAGGUCUCUGCUAAACCGUAAGGUGAUGUAUAGGGGCUGACGCCUGCCCGGUGCUGGAAGGUUAAGAGGAGUGGUUAGCUUCUGCGAAGCUACGAAUCGAAGCCCCAGUAAACGGCGGCCGUAACUAUAACGGUCCUAAGGUAGCGAAAUUCCUUGUCGGGUAAGUUCCGACCCGCACGAAAGGCGUAACGAUUUGGGCACUGUCUCAACGAGAGACUCGGUGAAAUCAUAGUACCUGUGAAGAUGCAGGUUACCCGCGACAGGACGGAAAGACCCCGUGGAGCUUUACUGUAGCCUGAUAUUGAAAUUCGGCACAGCUUGUACAGGAUAGGUAGGAGCCUUUGAAACGUGAGCGCUAGCUUACGUGGAGGCGCUGGUGGGAUACUACCCUAGCUGUGUUGGCUUUCUAACCCGCACCACUUAUCGUGGUGGGAGACAGUGUCAGGCGGGCAGUUUGACUGGGGCGGUCGCCUCCUAAAAGGUAACGGAGGCGCUCAAAGGUUCCCUCAGAAUGGUUGGAAAUCAUUCAUAGAGUGUAAAGGCAUAAGGGAGCUUGACUGCGAGACCUACAAGUCGAGCAGGGUCGAAAGACGGACUUAGUGAUCCGGUGGUUCCGCAUGGAAGGGCCAUCGCUCAACGGAUAAAAGCUACCCCGGGGAUAACAGGCUUAUCUCCCCCAAGAGUUCACAUCGACGGGGAGGUUUGGCACCUCGAUGUCGGCUCAUCGCAUCCUGGGGCUGUAGUCGGUCCCAAGGGUUGGGCUGUUCGCCCAUUAAAGCGGUACGCGAGCUGGGUUCAGAACGUCGUGAGACAGUUCGGUCCCUAUCCGUCGUGGGCGUAGGAAAUUUGAGAGGAGCUGUCCUUAGUACGAGAGGACCGGGAUGGACAUACCUCUGGUGUACCAGUUGUCGUGCCAACGGCAUAGCUGGGUAGCUAUGUGUGGACGGGAUAAGUGCUGAAAGCAUCUAAGCAUGAAGCCCCCCUCAAGAUGAGAUUUCCCAACUUCGGUUAUAAGAUCCCUCAAAGAUGAUGAGGUUAAUAGGUUCGAGGUGGAAGCAUGGUGACAUGUGGAGCUGACGAAUACUAAUCGAUCGAAGACUUAAUCA